UGCGUCGUGGUGCAAUGGUUAGUAUAUGCUCCAGGAAAGAGAGAGAUCAGGGUUCGAAUCUCGGCUGACGCAA